rnacentral:rRNA from 1 species
UACGAAGGGGGCUAGCGUUGCUCGGAAUCACUGGGCGUAAAGCGCACGUAGGCGGAUCGUUAAGUCGGGGGUGAAAUCCUGGAGCUCAACUCCAGAACUGCCUUCGAUACUGGCGAUCUUGGAGUCCGGGAGAGGUGAGUGGAACUCCGAGUGUAGAGGUGAAAUUCGUAGAUAUUCGGAAAGAACACCAGUGGCGAAGGCGGACUCACUGGCCCGGUACUGGACGCUG